AUACUUACCUGGCAGGGCAGUUACCAUGAUCAUGAAGGUGGUUUCCCAGGGCAAGCUUCAUUCAUUGCAUUGUGGGUGUGCUGAUCCCUGUGAUUUCCCUAAAUGUGAGAAAUGUACUGCAUAAUUUAUGGUAGUGGGGGACUGCAUUUGUGCUUUCUUUUG
ensembl:snRNA U1 U1 spliceosomal RNA